GACGAACGCUGGCGGCGUGCUUAACACAUGCAAGUCGAACGGUGAACCUCUUCGGAGGGGAUCAGUGGCGAACGGGUGAGUAACACGUGGGCAACCUGCCCCCGGCUCUGGGAUAACUCCAAGAAAUUGGGGCUAAUACCGGAUGUUCACCGCUUCCCGCAUGGGUGGUGGUGCAAAGGUUUUCCGGCUGGGGAUGGGCCCGCGGCCUAUCAGCUGGUUGGUGGGGUAGUGGCCUACCAAGGCGACGACGGGUAGCCGGCCUGAGAGGGUGACCGGCCACACUGGGACUGCGACACGGACCAGACUCCUACGGGAGGCAGCAGUGGGGAAUAUUGCGGAAUGGGCGGAAGCCUGACGCAGCGACGCCGCGUGGGGGAUGACGGCCUUCGGGUUGUAAACCUCUUUCAGCAGGGACGAAGCGCAAGUGACGGUACCUGCAGAAGAAGCACCGGCCAACUACGUG
rnacentral:rRNA from 1 species